CUAUGGGGUCUAUUUGGGUCUCUAUGGGGUCUCUAUGGGGUCUCUAUGGGUCUAUUGGGGUCUGGGGUCUCUAUGGGGUCUCUAUGGGGUCUCUAUGGGGUCUCUAUGCAGUUAUUAGGGGUCUCUAUGGGGUCUAUUGGGGUCUGGGGUCUCUAUGGGGUCUCUAUGGGGUCUCUAUGUUGUCUCUAUGGGUCUAUUUGGGUCUGGGGUCUCACUCACUCUCAUUAGCGCCACCUGGAGGCCGAUCUCGAUCACGUCGCAGUUUCGUUUUUGGGGGGGUCCCGUUUUUGGGGGGGGGGCCAAAAAAACGUGAAGCUCCAAAUCGUCCAUCAGCUGCUCAACGACCCCCAGGGCGACCCCCAGAGACCCCCGGCACUGAAACAACCCAUAGACCCCAUAUAGACCCCAUUGACCCCAUAUACCCCAUAUACCCCNCAUUACUCCCAUUCAUUCCACAGUCCCAUUCAUUACAUUACUCCCAUUGA
rnacentral:lncRNA from 1 species